GCUGGGUGUGGUGGCGCAUGCUUGUAAUCCCAGCUACUCAGGAGGCUGAGGCAGGAGAAUCGCUUGAACCCGGGAGAUGGAGGUUGCAGUGAGCCAAGAUCGUGCCACUGCACUCCAGCCUGGGUGACAGAGUGAGACUCCGUCUCAA
rnacentral:SRP_RNA from 1 species